rnacentral:tRNA from 1 species
AGCUGAGUGGCACAGUAGAUAGAGCACUGGACUUGAAAUUAGGAAGACAUCCUCAAUGGCUUCAAAUCCCAUCUCAGAUA